rnacentral:rRNA from 1 species
ACGACGAGGUUGAUAGGUUCGGGGUGGAAGCACGGUAACGUGUGCAGCUGACGAAUACUAAUCGGUCGAGGGCUUAUCCAACUU